GACGAACGCUGGCGGCGUGCUUAACACAUGCAAGUCGAACGCUGAACCCGCUUCGGUGGGGGAUGAGUGGCGAACGGGUGAGUAACACGUGGGCAACCUGCCCCCGGCUCUGGGAUAACUCCAAGAAAUUGGGGCUAAUACCGGAUGUGACCGCUGGCCGCAUGGUCUGGUGGUGGAAAGGGUUUCCGGCUGGGGAUGGGCCCGCGGCCUAUCAGCUUGUUGGUGGGGUAGUGGCCUACCAAGGCGACGACGGGUAGCCGGCCGGAGAGGGUGACCGGCCACACUGGGACUGAGACACGGCCCAGACUCCUACGGGAGGCAGCAGUGGGGAAUAUUGCGCAAUGGGCGGAAGCCUGACGCAGCGACGCCGCGUGGGGGAUGACGGCCUUCGGGUUGUAAACCUCUUUCAGCAGGGACGAAGCGCAAGUGACGGUACCUGCAGAAGAAGCACCGGCCAACUACGUG
rnacentral:rRNA from 1 species